UACGAAGGGGGGCUAGCGUUGCUCGGAAUCACUGGGCGUAAAGGGUGCGUAGGCGGGUCUUUAAGUCAGGGGUGAAAUCCUGGAGCUCAACUCCAGAACUGCCUUUGAUACUGAAGAUCUUGAGUUCGGGAGAGGUGAGUGGAACUGCGAGUGUAGAGGUGAAAUUCGUAGAUAUUCGCAAGAACACCAGUGGCGAAGGCGGCUCACUGGCCCGAUACUGACGCUG
rnacentral:rRNA from 1 species